UGGGGAAUAUUGCGCAAUGGGCGAAAGCCUGACGCAGCGACGCCGCGUGAGGGAAGAAGGCCUUCGGGUCGUAAACCUCUGUCUAGAGGGAAGAAACCAUUGAGGUCGAACAGGCCUCUUUGCUGACGGUACCUCUGAAGGAAGCACCGGCUAACUCCGUGCCAGCAGCCGCGGUAAUCCGGAGGGUGCGAGCGUUAGUCGGAAUCACUGGGCGUAAAGCGCAGGUAGGCGGGGUCGUAAGUCGGAUGUGAAAGCCCUCGGCGCAACCGGGGAACUGCAUUCGAUACUGCGAUGCUUGAGUGCCGGAGAGGGUGGCGGAAUUCCAGGUGUAGGAGUGAAAGCCGUAGAUAUCUGGAGGAACACCAGUGGCGAAGGCGGCCACCUGGCCGGCAACUGACGCUGAGGUGCGAAAGCGUGGGGAUCAAACA
rnacentral:rRNA from 1 species